rnacentral:lncRNA from 1 species
CAGGCAUGGGAAUGAUGAUGUGUGCGAGUUGGGGAUGAAAACGGUCGGAAAAAUGCUCAAACCAUUUCCGUUACCAUAUUUGAGAGAGAGAGAGAGAGAGAGACGCACAGAGCGAGAGAGAGAGAGAGAUGGGUACAGCACUUCCCAGAAAGCCAAACACCAUCUCUGUAUAUCAAGUUUCAUCAUUGGGCUUCAAAUCAAAGCAUGGCACCUACGUAGUGCUAAACCUUGGUGAAACUGCCAAUAUCAAUCAAAUAAAACAAUGAUCCAAUUCAGAAUCGCAAAUACUGGCCAAGCAACAACACAAAGGUACUAGAGAGUAGAAACACAAUAUGAUAUUGAACAGUUAAUAAAAACAAACCUACACAAGCGACAACAAAAAUGUACUAAAAGAAAUGAAGCACUCAUUAUGUGAUAUUAUAACAGAAAAGAAUGCAAAUGAUGAGUCUCUCGUCAAGCCAACAUACCCAAACCUGCUGGAAACAAAAAAUAGAAAGUGUCCAUUUUGAUUAACCCCUUAACACUUGUCCAAGUCCAGGAAUCGCUAACUCAACAAACCGUGGCCAUUCAACAUUACCCACAUAAAUAGUUUCUUUGCUGCCUAGGUGGAGGGGCCAUACCAAAACUUAUAAUUAUGUGCUAAGCAGUGCUGACUCAUCAACAUGUUCACUUGUACACAUUUCACCAGCAUGGUUUUGGGCAAUGGGGAGUUUGUAAUGAUUUUGAUAGAUCAAAGAUGUUAAACAUGCGAUAUUUGUAGUUUUGGGUUGCCGCGAAUGUUCAGGUAAAAUGGCCAAUAGUACAAUAAAAAGAACAUUGACAAAAAAACUUACAACUUGUGCAUGUGCAGGGAAACUUUAUUGAUGGCAAGUCUCUCUGAUGCAUUUCAUUGAUGGCAUAUAUGGUCAGUGAUUUGCCCGCUAAAACUUAUGCAGUACCUGCAUUCCAAACAGAUCCUUCGAUGACAAAUUCCCUACUCGUGCAUGGAUUUUGAGGGAGGAGAGAAGACCAAGUGCCAUCUAUGCAUAUUAAGUUUUUAUUAUUAGGCAAUGCAUUUAGAUAUGCUACUACCAAGCAAAGCAACAUUGUAAAAAUAUGGAAAUAUGAACCUGCUGGUAAUCAAGACCAUGGCUAUCGCAGGCUCUUGAUUCAUCGUAUUAUACAGGAGGUAAUAAAAAAAGGUGGUAAACUAGAUGAGAGAAGGAAUAUCGACAAGAUAUGUUAACACAAAAAAGAGAUAAACAAUGUAGUGGCAUAAGUUGAGGUAUUUUGAAUCUACGAGGAAUAGACAAGGUGGAGAUAUUUGAAUUGUUCUGAACAUCAAUCACUACAUCUGCAGCCAUGAUACAUUAAGUGUGUACUUGUUUGCACGGCAAUGGACCAACUCCGUCAGAUAGUAAAUUUCUGGGAGUUACAUCAGGCUAUUAAGGAGACACAGAGUCUGAGAGGCAAGCAACAAAACUAAAAGAUCCAAACAAAAAGAUUGAAAGGUCGAUAUUACCAAAUGGCCCUCUGAUUUCACAACUUUGUUUUUCAUCUUAGGCUGGCUAAUGCGGCAGCCCUCAAUGCUGGCACUGAAGCAUGUCUCAAGGGAACGGCAGAACUGGAUGAUGAUGAUCGAUGACGACGACAACGACGACAACUGCCACAGCAGUGGCAGGAGCGGAGGAGGACGAAGAAGAAGAAGAGAAAAAGAAAGAAAGAGAGCUACUUUUCCAAAGCAGAAGCAGCAGCAGAAACCAUGGUCCUGCCAAUUGCGCGGACCGACAUGUCAGUGUUUCUCCAACCCCUGAGCAUGCUUCAGCGCCCAGAUCAUUGAGGAGCCAACGCCACACUAGCCAUUUUCAGCUCAACCCAUUGCAGAUGCAAAGGGCAACCCCAUUAGAGCUCAAGUCCGAGCCGAUCUAUCUAUCCAUCCAUCCAUCAACCAAUCGAUUUAUCGAUUCACGAGGGUCUUAGUCACAAUCAUCAUUGGGCCAAUGGCGAAUCCAGGCAAAAACGAGAGAGAUCAGAGGCACCAUGCCACAGUGAAAACGAAACAAGCGAAAUGCAUAAGAGACAGGUGCACCAGAAAAAGGACCAUCCAUGGAUGGACUCAUCUCAAACGAACUGGCAAACGUGCCAUAAGAAAAAUAAUGCCCUCAGAACUCACAUACACAGUAUCCAUUGAUGGUGCAGGAGACAGCCUCAAAUUGUGAGCAAGGAAAUGUGAGGCUGAAUGAAUUCCUGGAAUGAUGAUGGAAGGUUAAGCUAGCUAGCUACACAUGCACAAUCAUUGGAAUGAACCAUUCCAAAUGAUGACAUGUACGAGAGAGAGAGAGAGAGAGAGAGAGGAGAGAGAGAGAGAGAGAGAGAGAGAGAGAGAGAGAGAGGACGGAUGGAUGGAUACAGAUCAUACAGCACUUCCAGGAAGCAAAACACCAUCUCUGUAAAUCAUGUUUCAUCACUGGGCAUUUAAAUCAACUAAAUCAAAGCAUGGUACCUGUUAUUCUACUGCAGAAGGUACUAAAUUUAGGUGAAAUUGCUAGUCUGAAUCAAAUAAAACAUUGGUCCAAUUCAGAAUCAAAUCCAGAUGCUCUGCAAAGGUGGGGAAACAUAUAUGACUACGUGGUCUUGAACAAGGAAAACUUCAACCAAGAGAAAAGGAGGGGAAAUCGUGCAAGUGAGAAUUUUCCUUUUUUAAAAAGGAAAGUCAUAAAAAAGAGGGGAAGUCACGUUCUUGAUUGAUUGUAUGAAGGGGAUUAAGAAAGGAAGCAAAUGAGUUAUUUCUCAAAAUAUCAUGGCUCAUAAGUGGAUAGUGAUUUGGUUUUAUGAUAUGGACGACUGUCAUGAAGUCCAAAAGGUACCACUUCAAUACACUCUGGUUUCUUGAACAAAAUAAAUAACAUGGCAAUGAAAAAAAUAACAAAUGAACUUAUCACAGUGUAAAUAAAGUAAUAAACUAGUCAAUCUGCAGAAUGAAAACCCUCAGAAGCUCUAGCCUAGAAAAGGUGUCGAACUUAUCACUUGGAGCACAAACACAAGCUGACUUAGAAUAAGUCAAUAAGAGUAUCUAGGAACCGUCAUCUGGGAAGAGUUAAAGAGUCAGCUCUGCUGGGUGUCUAUCAGUUAAAAAUGAGACGAAAAUACUGGCCGAGCAACAAACAGAAAGGUUAGAGUAGAAACACAAUAAACAGUUUAACAGAACAAACCUACACAAACCACAGCAAAAAUGUACUGAAGGAAGUGCAAAUGAAAAGCCUCUCAUCAAGCCAACAUAUUCAAACUUGCAGGGAACAAAAUUUUGAAAGUACUAAGUCCAUUUUGAUUAACCCCCUCAACUCUUGCUCAAGUCCGCAAGUUAAAAAACAGUGACCAUUCAAUAUUUGUACCCACGUAAAUAGUUUCUUUGCUGCCUAGGUGUGUUUUGAGUAUGAUGUGAGGAGCCAUGCAAAUUUUUAUUGUGCUAAUUGAGCAUUUCACCGGGUCCACUACGUCCAUUUGUACGCAUUUCACCGGAUUGGUUUCAGCAAUGGGAUGAGUUGCAAUAACUUUGAUAGUUCUUGAACAUGUAGUUUGGGGUUGACCAGGAAGUUGAGGUGGUAAAAUGGGCAAUAGUAGACUAAAAAUAUCGAAAAAACAUACAGCUUGUGCAUUUGCAAGGAAUGUUAUGCCCUCAAGACUCACUUAUGCAUUUCAUUUAUGGCAACAUAUAUGGUAUCUGAUUUUCCCGCUAAAACUUAGCGGUAC